rnacentral:misc_RNA from 1 species
GAACAACCAUUCAAGAUAUGAAGGUUUUGCACAAAGGGCAUAUGGAUACUUACAUUCUUUGGAAAUCUUAUAAAUGACAAUUCUCCUACUUUAAUUAUAAAUAGAAAGGAACAUUUCUAGAAUUCAUUCUUUCCUCUUUGCACAAUGAUAAGCAACAUGUGGCUGAUUCACAACUUCUGAAGGACAAAUGCAUUACAUAACAUCAAAACAGGAUACUUACACAAGGGAUGUCAAGAGUUAUAUAGCUAGUAGCCUGGAACAAAUCAAAUACGAAGCAAAGCUAAGGAUUGUGAUCACCACCGUUUUUGAAGAAGGCUGUUGUUUCCUGACCCCAAUACAACAAUCCAUUGGCUGUCUUAUCAACAAAACUAAAGCACACGUCGCUCCAGGUUCUUUGAACUAUCAAAAUGAAGCAAGGAACCAAUAUGCCAGCUGCAAAUCCCAACCCAACUGCCAAAUAGAACCACUUGUCAACACUGUAACCAUCAGCAAUUGCACUCUCAGCAGUUCCUGCACUAGUUGGAUAGUCACCUGGACAUUGACCAACAAGAGGAGCUCCACAAAGGCCAGGGUUACCCGGGAAAGAGGAUGACUCAAAAGUUGUCAGGUGCCCAACAAAAGAAAUUCUACCUGAGAAAUUGUUGUUUGAUAAGUUCAAGUAUCCCAAGAAUGAUAAGGAAGACAUGCUUGAAGGAAUUGGACCUGAAAGCACAUUUCUUGAGAGAUCAAGAGAUGACAACUGAUGCAAUUUUGAAAUGUUUUCAUUUAUCUGGCUAUUGAGAUUAUUUCCUGACAGGUUCAAAACCACCAACCCUGCCAAUCUUGUUAUUUCCUGGGGCAGCUUUCCAUGCAACCGAUUCCCAGAAAGGUCUAUGCAUGUUAGAAGGGAAAGAGUCUUUGUGAACCUUUGUGAUCCAGCUUUUAUAUUCACAACUAUACUUUCUUCAUAAUAGUGUCUCCCAAAAUUUGUCCCAUAAAACAAGUAUCUGUUGUUUUUUUCAGGUUGAGCCAUGGACUUGAGAUCACCCAAACUAGCUGGAAUUAUACCUUCCGACUCAUUUUCUGCAAGAUCCAGGAUUUGUAGAGAACCCAAACUUGAAAGACCAGAUGGUAGUUCUCCAGAAAAUGUAUUUGACCUCAAUCUGAGAAUUCUAAGAUUCUGGAAACCAUGUCCAAACCAUGAUGGAAUGUUACCAGUCAUCCAAUGUCUAGAGUUUCCAGAUUCAACAAAUUUUGGAAAGAUGAGGGAAUUUCUCCAAAGAUCAUGUUGUUGCUUAGGUGUAGUGUUUGGAGGAAAUUUAGCAAACCUAAAGAACCAGGAACCUCUCCUGGUAGUUAUUUUGAAUGUCUAAAACUUGUAGUUGACGACAGUUUGCCAUGUUUGAAGGAAUGCUUCCAGAUAAAUUGUUUCUUGAAAGAUCAAUGAUAAUCAAUGAAAAUGUUUGUCCAAUGGAAUCUGGGAUUUCACCAAUCAGUUGGUUUCCUGCAAAAGAAAGGAAUAUCCAGAACUGGGUGAAUCCACUUAUCAUUUUUGCGAUAGGACCUGAAAAUCGAUUAUCAGAAAGAUCUAAUACUUGAAUUCCAGCAAGUAGAAGAGGAAUAGGUCCUUCAAAGAGGUUGGAGCUCAAAUCAAGAAAUGCAACUUCUUGUAAAUUCAAUGGAUUUGGCAGUUGACCCUUUAACUGAUUGAAGGACAAAUUUAAGGAAUUGAGACCACCAGAAAUAUCCCAAAACCAGCUGGGUAUGGAACCUGAAAGACUAGCAUUUGAGAAGUCAAGAUAAGAUAGAUUACUUUGAUAUUUAAGCCAAGCAGGGAAUGAAGGGCCCAGAAGGAAGGAAGCCAUAUCAAGUGACUGGAGCUGAAAUGGAGAGAUCCAAUUUGAACUGGCAUUCAAGACCAAAGAGUUGGAAAAAAAACACAAGGACUGCAAUUAUUUAACUUUGAAAAGUGGGAUUCUGAGAUUACACCAGUCAAACAGUUGAAGGAGACAUCUAGGACAGACAACAUUAAAACCCGUGCCAAACUAUAUGGGAGAGAUUCAGUUAACUGAUUGUCAGAGACAUCUAGGAUAGACAACUUAGGAAGCUGAAACAAAGUAUCUGAAAGAGUUCCAUUUAGUUCAUUUUUCCCAAGUAGGAGAGUAGUUAGACAUCUUAAUGCUCCCAAAUCAGGGAUGGGACCAUGGAACAAGUUAUAAUUCAGACAGCGUUCAACCAAGAUUUUGAAUCUGACCCAACCAAGUUGGCAAUUUACCAACCAAUCUACUUCUCCUCAGUAGCAAGUACUGCAAACUUGGAACAGGACUUUUGGAAAGGCAAUCAUCUGUUCCUUCAAGGAUUUCGGGUAAACUACCCUUCAAAUUAUUAUUUGAUAAAUCAAAAUAUUUCAGAUUACAAAGUUUAGCUAUUGAGCUCGGAAACUCACCCUCAAUAUUAUUGGAGAACAAAAAAAAGUUGAGUGAGUGAUGUAAUAUUUCCAAUGGAGGCAGGUAGCUUACCAUACACAUUAUUGAUGCCCAAAUUAAGAACUUCCAAGUUUUUCCAGCUUCCCUGGAACAGUGGACUGCUAUUAGCUUUUAGAUGGUUGAAUUCAACAUGCAAGAACUGCAAAAUUGGCAGCAUGCUUAAAGCAAGUGGAAUGCUUCCAUGCAACUGGCUAUAUCAGAUGUCAACAUACACAAGGCUGCUGAUAUUCACAAGCCAGUUCGGGAACUCUGCAAAGAACUUAUUAAAACUGAGGUCUAUCACAGCAAGUGAUUGACAAAGUUAAGAAAUGAAUUAGAAUCAAUCAGGUCACAAAACUGCAAGUGCAGCUCAGUUAUAUGUGAAAGCCUGUUCAAUGCUCCAACCCACUCUGACCCAGAGGAUGAUAGGUCAACUCCAUUAAGCGCUAAAUAUUUCAAAGAUGUAAGACCAGUCAUCCAUUCAAGGUUGUCAACAGUUAAACAGUUGUUAGAGGCAUUGAAAUACUGCAGUGCAGAGAUAUUUCCCAAGUUUGGAGGAAUUUUGCCACCAAAGCCAGCAUCUGCUAGAUUUAGAUAUUGCAGUUUCUCCAAAGAUUGAAAGAAUUCAGGAAUUGGAAUUCCACUGAAUCCAUUAAGACUCAAGUCUAAAUGUCUCAAAUAAUUGAGUUUUAUCAAUGAAGGACUAAUUUUCCCACCUAAUGCAUACCUGGAAUAAUUGGGAUCUGAUGAUGGAAAAGGAUUGUGGAGGUCAAUUGCAAUAACAUCUCUAGUUUUAUUGUCACAACUUAUCCCUUCCCCUUGGCAACAGUUGUUUCCUCGCCAUGAUGAGAGUCGAUUCUCAGGAUCCUUUAGACCUUCUUUGAAAUCAAUAAGAGCUUCCCUGUCAGAGUCCAAGCAAUCCACCAACUGGGCAUUGCCAUUAUGGAUUCCUGCAAUCAAAAUGAAGAAAUGAAGAAUCAUUGAAAGAAAUGAUGAAAUGUCCAUAUGAAGCAUUGAAUUACAUUUGAGGUAGAUACAAGACAAUAUGCAUAUAAAUAGCCAUUUUUCGCAUUAAAAAAAAAUCAUUUUUUUAGCAGAUCUUAGGCUUGGAGCUUUCAUAUGCAUAGGUCCAAAGGAAAAAAAAAUAGAUGUAAAAGGAAUAUCAUUAUUCCUAGAAUAAAGGGAUAUGCUUAUGCUUACAAUAUUGAUGCAGAGUUAGGCUUGUAAUAAAGCUAAAACUUGUCGAACAUAGAUAUCUAUGAACAUUGUGACUUGGUUUUUUCUUUCUUAUUUUAGCAGAUAUACGUUUGAACACUUCAUUUUCCAUUAUAGAACAUUGGAAGCAGCAAAAAAGAAAAUAACAUAGCAAAGCAAACAAGAUAUCAGUUUCCUAAGUGUGCAUCAGGAUCAAAUUCAGACGGCCACUGAAGGACUGAUUCUCCAAAGGAAUUAAAACUUUUUUUGUCCUGUUCAGUUGGAAUCAGAAUGAUAUAUAAUUAUGACUUGAUAACAAUCUCUUGUCCUCUGUCAAAAGAAAAAGGCAAGUUAUGUGUCAAGAUUAUAAUAUUUGAGUUACCAGGAAAAGAAUUAACCUUGUAGCAACCACUUUUGUGAGAUCAUAUUAACUAAUGCUACUCUGUAUUGAAAAGCCAACUAUUAAAAAAAUAAUAGAAGAGAUAAAGCUAAUCCGCUUUCUUUCUUUUCUUUUUAACUUUUUUU